AUGCUACCUUGUGAUUUCUUUGCUUCUAACUUGCAUUGCAUGAUGCCAUCACUUAAGGUAGAUUUGAAAAACUAUUUGCUUGGACAUGAUCAUACACACCUUGUUAGUGGCAUUACUCUCAUUUGUGAUGAUCACAGUUACUUUCCUCGUGCUAGUUCUAUGCUUAAUGAAACAUAUCAUUCCCAUGCUAGUCUUGAGCUUAAUGAUAAAUAUCAUCCUCAUGUUAGUGUUGACCUUGCUGAUUUCUACCAUCCUAAACAUGUGCUUUAUAGCUAUGCUUAUGUAAUUGGAUAUUCGAUUGAUGACUUGGAGGGUAUUAUCCCUACCGCUUGCAUUGUUUCUUUUGUUGAGUGCCCUUUCAGGUUUUUGCUACUGCACCGUUCACUACAUGCUGACCAGGUUCGAGGUGACAUCCCUUGGGAUCCUGGUGGAGUCAGAGCAUGGCGAUGA
rnacentral:rRNA from 1 species